GAUGAACGCUGGCGGCGUGCCUAAUACAUGCAAGUCGAGCGAACAGAUAAGGAGCUUGCUCCUUUGAAGUUAGCGGCGGACGGGUGAGUAACACGUGGGUAACCUACCUAUAAGACUGGGAUAACUUCGGGAAACCGGAGCUAAUACCGGAUAACAUUUAGAACCGCAUGGUUCUAAAGUGAAAGAUGGUUUUGCUAUCACUUAUAGAUGGACCCGCGCCGUAUUAGCUAGUUGGUAAGGUAACGGCUUACCAAGGCGACGAUACGUAGCCGACCUGAGAGGGUGAUCGGCCACACCGGAACUGAGACACGGUCCAGACUCCUACGGGAGGCAGCAGUAGGGAAUCUUCCGCAAUGGGCGAAAGCCUGACGGAGCAACGCCGCGUGAGUGAUGAAGGGUUUCGGCUCGUAAAACUCUGUUAUUAGGGAAGAACAAAUGUGUAAGUAACUGUGCACAUCUUGACGGUACCUAAUCAGAAAGCCACGGCUAACUACGUG
rnacentral:rRNA from 1 species